rnacentral:rRNA from 1 species
AUACGGAGGGUGCAAGCGUUGUUCGGAAUCACUGGGCGUAAAGGGCGCGCAGGCGGUUUGGUAAGUCAGAUGUGAAAGCCACGGCUCAACCGUGGAAGUGCAUUUGAAACUGCCAGACUUGAGUACCAGAGGGGAAAGUGGAAUUCCCGGUGUAGAGGUGAAAUUCGUAGAUAUCGGGAGGAAUACCGGUGGCGAAGGCGACUUUCUGGCUGGAUACUGACGCUGAGGCGCGAAAGCGUGGGGAGCAAACAGGAUUAGAUACCCUAGUAGUCC